rnacentral:rRNA from 1 species
UAAUACGGAGGAUCCGAGCGUUAUCCGGAUUUAUUGGGUUUAAAGGGUGCGUAGGCGGCCUUUUAAGUCAGCGGUGAAAGUCUGUGGCUCAACCAUAGAAUUGCCGUUGAAACUGGGGGGCUUGAGUAUGUUUGAGGCAGGCGGAAUGCGUGGUGUAGCGGUGAAAUGCAUAGAUAUCACGCAGAACCCCGAUUGCGAAGGCAGCCUGCCAAGCCAUUACUGACGCUGAUGCACGAAAGCGUGGGGAUCAAACAGGAUUAGAUACCCUGGUAGUCCACGCAGUAAACGAUGAUCACUAGCUGUUUGCGAUACACUGUAAGCGGCACAGCGAAAGCGUUAAGUGAUCCACCUGGGGAGUACGCCGGCAACGGUG